rnacentral:rRNA from 1 species
UACGUAGGGCGCAAGCGUUGUCCGGAAUUAUUGGGCGUAAAGAGCUCGUAGGCGGCUUGUCACGUCGGGUGUGAAAGCCCGGGGCUUAACCCCGGGCCUGCAGUGGAUACGGGCUGGCUGGAGGCAGGCAGGGGAGAACGGAAUUCCUGGUGUAGCGGUGAAAUGCGCAGAUAUCAGGAGGAACACCGGUGGCGAAGGCGGUUCUCUGGGCCUGUUCUGACGCUGAGGAGCGAAAGCGUGGGGAGCGAACAGG